CCACAAGACAGCUGCGCUUCGGUUAAAGAAGGUCCAUCCACGAAGGAUACUUGCCUAAAAAAAUCGACGAGGGAUACAGGUAAGCCCGUGCCCCGAUCACCUCCGCCUCCCGGAUCCGAUCCGCGCCCCGAUCCCCACCGCCUCCUGUCUCUGAGCUCCGAUUUGAUCCACCGCGUGUACGAGAGGCGGCUCGGAAUGUGGGCCGGAGGGCGAGGCGGCGCCUCUUGAAGCAGUGGCGAGCGACCGACCUGGCGCGGGCCUCACCGGCCGAUGCGGAGAGUUCAUCCGUCGUGUUUUUAAGGCGAGGAGUCGAGCAGUUUUCCGUUUCGUUUAGGAAUUAAUGGCAGUCGAGGGAGCACCGUGGCGGCGGAUGGUAGAGGCUGUGGUAUUUUGGUUUGGGGACUAUUGGAGGCUGGUUCUGGAAUUUUUCAGGAAGAGGAAUUCAUGAGCCGGCUAUUUGCAAUGGUACCAAUCAGGCUAUUAGGCGUGAGCUCCAUCUCAAUCCUAUAAAUAUGUUUUCUUUUCUUUGGUAGGAUCUUUUUUACAUUAGCCAAGGAGAAGCCCAGGCUGCGCGGCACGAGCACUAGCCCCACAUUCGGCCCUGCCUCUGGGCGCAGUCAAUGAGCUCGCCCUUGCUGCAACUCUUGUGCUUAGCAUAUAUAUCCUCGGUAUCAAAAUUCUGUCCAAAAGGUACAUACUAUCCUGUAUCGUAUUUUCUCUAAUCUAAUUCAUUUAAUCUUAAGAAUUUUGAAGGUCUCGCAGAAGGAAAGGAUAUCCCACUUCAUAUUGAAUCAAUAACCAUUAAUAUUUAUAUUAAAUGAUUUAUGCUAUUGCAGUUACAUUUUUGCAGCUUUUAAAUUUCCAUACACACGCUCCUUUAUGUAACUCCAACUAGGGUGCAGAUCAUUUUUACUAAAUUAAUAUAUGAAUUACUUUUUUUUCCAUAUUUUGUAAUCUUAGAGUUGGAAGUAGUUCGGUCGUUCCUAAAAAGCAGACUAAUUCACAUAUAUUUCAUUUAGUGAUAUUCAUAUAUCAUUUAUGUUUGCGACACCAAAUAAGAUAACAAGGGAUCAUUAUUUUGCGGGUCAAGAAAAUCCUUAGGAGGUAACGUCAUGGGAGAAAAACCAUAACUAGAAUAUUUAUGUUACCUUCUUGGAGGUUUUCUCAAACCAUUCAAUACUCAUGAAAUUAAUCUCAACUAUUCAUCUUUCAUGCUUUAAUCAGAUGAAUCAUUAUUAUAUCUUUGUUUUUAUCAUGCCAUUUGUGAUGCUUGAAGCUCUAAUAUUUUACGGAUGUCCUAACUUUGUCCAAGCACUGGCUCGGCUCAGAUUCCUACUUGGCUUUCUUAGUGACCCCUAUGAUCUGGUGAAUUUAUCUAGCUUAUCAAAAAUAUUUUGACGAUGAAGUGGUUUUGAGACAUGAGCUCUCACGAUGUUUCUAUCAUUCUUUAUUCAAGUGUCUUGAUCAUGUUGUUGGCAUAUGUAGUCUUGUUGUUGGACCCGGCGAUUUCUACAACCAAUAUCAAGAUCCAAUAUGGUUUUGCUGCUACUAUUUAUUGACCCAACACAAAAUACCCCUCGAGCUACGGGUUCAUGCAAAUUAAACUUUCAUGUUUUAUGUCUUCAUAUAUUUACAUAUUCUGUCAUUAUAUUGUAGAAAUGGAUGGGCGCAGCAACGCGCGCCAUCCAUGAUCAAGUUCACGCUAAAGCUUCGACUACAGCGAGUGUUACGAGCAGGAGGUAGCUUUCGCCAAUGCUAGGCCACACGAAGAUCAACGUUGACGGAGCUUUUUCUCGAGAUGGUAUGGUGGCCGCGGCUGCUGCGGUCUGCAAAAAGGAGCUUGGAGAAUAUAUGGGAGCAUCGGCCAUUUGUUGUGCACAACGUAACUGAUCCAACAAGCAUGGAGGCCCUGGCCUGUCAGGAAGGUCUCUCUUGGCUGAAGAUCUCAACCUAGCAAGUGUCCAUAUGGCGUCAGAUUAUCAAGUGGUUAUCAAGGACAUUGAUCAGGGAACUAGUGCCCCGUAUGGUGCAAUCAUCCAGGAGGUUAUAGCACGGAAAUUGUCUAUGACUAGUUGUCAUCUCAUGUAUGAAAGUAGAAACUGCAACUUUGAGGCACAUCACCUUGCAAAGCACGCUUCGUCUUUAGAUGUCGGUCGUCACAUUUGGCUAGGUAUGCCUUAUGAUCCAGUUAAUAUCUCUGUAAACAUUAUUUCUUUAGAUGUCGGUCGUCACAUUUGGCUAGGUAUGCCUUAUGAUCCAGUUAAUAUCUCUGUAAACAUUAUUUCAGAGAUUUAAUAAAGCGUGUGUUUGCCUACAAAAAA